rnacentral:rRNA from 1 species
AGGGAAGAAACCUUUGGAUUUACUCCGAAGCUGACGGUACCUGAAGAAUAAGCACCGGCUAACUCCGUGCCAGCAGCCGCGGUAAUACGGAGGGUGCGAGCGUUAUCCGGAAUUACUGGGUUUAAAGGGUGCGUAGGCGGCCAGGUAAGUCAGGAGUGAAAGUUUGCGGCUCAACCGUAAAAUUGCUUUUGAUACUGCCAGGCUAGAAUUAGGAUGAGGUCAGCGGAAUGUGGCAUGUAGCGGUGAAAUGCAUAGAUAUGCCAUAGAACACCAAUUGCGAAGGCAGCUGGCUAGACCUGGAUUGACGCUGAGGCACGAAAGCGUGGGGAGCGAACAGGAUUAGAUACCCUGGUAGUCCACGCCCUAAACGAUGCUCACUCGACGUAUGUCGCUAGACGAUGUGCGUCCAAGGGAAACCGUUAAGUGAGCCACCUGGGGAGUACGACCGCAAGGCUAAAACUCAAAGGAAUUGACGG